GCCACACGCUCCCCCACAGACGUCCUGACAGCACAGCCCUCACCAUGCACUGGAGCUGGAGAGUCCUCUUCCUGGUGGCAGUGGCUACAGGUGUCCACUCCGAGAUCCAGCUGGUGCAGCCUGGGGCUGAGGUGAGGAAGCCUGGGGCCUCAGUGAAGGUGUCCUGCAAGGCUUCCGGAUACACCUUCACUGGCUACUGGAUGCACUGGGUGCGACAGGCCCCGGGACAAGGGCUUGAGUGCAUGGGAUUCAGCAACACAAACACAGAAAAACCAACGUAUGCCCAGGGAUUCUCAGAUCGAUUUGUCUUCUCCUUGGACACCGCUGUCAGCACGGCCUAUCUGCACAUCAACAGCCUGAGACCUGAGGACACGGCCGUGUAUUACUGUGCGAGACACACAGUGUAA